AUUCUGGUAAUUUUUUUGGGAUUAAUUCUGAUUUUUCCUCGUCUGGCAGGAAGACUCACGGCGCUGUUGGCCGAGCGCGACUCCGGCCUCCGGAAGCUCCGAGCGGAGCUCGCCAAAUGCGACGCCACCAUCCGUGAGUGUGAAAAAUCCCAAAAUUACACAAAAUUUGGGGGGAAAAUCCCAAAAUUCCAGAAUUUUGGAAAAAUUCUGUUAAUUUUACAGAAUAUUGGGGAAAAAAAAAAUCCCAGAAUUUCAGAAUAUUUUGGGGGGAAAAUCCCAGAAUUUCACAGAAUUCGGGGGAAAGGAUUUAAAUUUUAUGGAAUUUUGGGGGGAAAUUCCAAAAUUUCACAGAAAUUUGGGGUGAAAUCCCAAAAUUUGGGGAAAAAUCCCAGAAUUUCACAACAUUUUGGGUGGGAAAUUCCAGAAUUUCACAGAUUUUUGGGAGAAAAUUCCAGAAUUUCACAGAAUUUGGGGUGA
rnacentral:lncRNA from 1 species